rnacentral:lncRNA from 1 species
CCUUCAGCAAACUAUUUACCUCUUAAUUUGUUAAAAACCAUAUGAGCUUACCUGUGACUUUUGCCUGAGCGACAUUUGUCAAUACUAUAUGGCCAUUUGCUUUGACUUAGUUUUCCCCCAUUGAUGUUGAACAAAUGUUUGCUUCCUUCCAGAAGUUUCCCUGUCUCCCUGGCUGCUACCUUCCUCUGUUCCCUGUCCUACACACAUGGUUGCUUCUCUUCUCCAGCAAACAGUACAGAGAGCCCCUGAGCCCCAGAGCAUGGCCUCCCUUUGGUGUUCUUAGCCAGUUCUGGUAAUACCACAUCUCUGUCUUCACCACUACCUAGGGAGAUCCCAGAUUAUAGUGCUCCCCAGAAAGCUGUGCUCACUGGCUUCUGCUCCCUGCCCAGUCUCACCAGGUAGCUGGAAACAUCUCCUCUAAGCAAUCUCCACACAUGCCAUGGAUUCUUCUCUGUUCUGUCCUGAGAUCUCCUGGACUUUAAUUCAAGAAGCCAUCAACAUGUAAGAGUUGUGGACAAAGAAACUGCUUCUAGGGUCAGCCUAUGUGUAACUCCCCCUGUGAAUUCACCAGUUUCUACCUUUGUCUCCUUUUGGCUCCUUCUGUUUAUGUCACCACAUGCUACAUGCCUACCUACAAAGUCGAUGUGAGAUCAGCAAGACUAUCUGCAGGGCUCAGUGUGAAGUGGCUGCCCGCGAGUGUUACACUGGUAGAAAUAUCAGCUACAUGCUCUUGGGGUUUUUCAGCUAUGGAGCUGGAUAAAGCUAAGAAUGUAUGCAUACAUUUCACAAGGGUGUGUCUCAUAAACAUGGAAUGAGCGAUGAAUGACUAUUCAGAGGAGGCCAAGAUAACCCACGAUAAAUUGUCUCUGGAACUGCCACACCCUGGCUGCUCCAGAAUCACUCAGCCUUUUUGAAUGCUCAGUGUGGUUAUGACUGCCUACCUGAGUGUCAGUUCACAGUAACAGAAAGUCUUGGCUUGGUUUUAUAUCCCAGGUGUUGCUCUCAGGAGCCACUAACCUUGACUUUUGAGACAAGGUCUCUCCCUGGCUGGGAACCCACCCAUCAGGCUAGGAUAACUGGCCAGAGAGCCUUAAAGAUCCUCCCAUUUCUGUCUCCAUUGUUGGGAUUCCAGUGCACACCACCA